rnacentral:rRNA from 1 species
AGUGAACGCUGGCGGUAGGCCUAACACAUGCAAGUCGAACGGCAGCACAGGAGAGCUUGCUCUCUGGGUGGCGAGUGGCGGACGGGUGAGGAAUACAUCGGAAUCUACUCUGUCGUGGGGGAUAACGUAGGGUAACUUACGCUAAUACCGCAUACGACCUACGGGUGAAAGCAGGGGACCUUCGGGCCUUGCGCGAUUGAAUGAGCCGAUGUCGGAUUAGCUAGUUGGCGGGGUAAAGGCCCACCAAGGCGACGAUCCGUAGCUGGUCUGAGGCGAUGAUCAGCGACACUGGAGCUGAGAAACGGUCCAGACUCCUACGGGAGGGAGCAGUGGGGAAUAUUGGACAAUGGGCGCAAGCCUGAUCCAGCCAUACCGCGUGGGUGAAGAAGGCCUUCGGGUUGUAAAGCCCUUUUGUUGGGAAAGAAAUCCAGCUGGCUAAUACCCGGUUGGGAUGACGGUACCCAAAGAAUAAGCACCGGCUAACUUCGUGCCAGCCGCCGCAGUAA